GUAGGGAAUAUUGGGCAAUGGUCGGAAGACUGACCCAGCCAUGCCGCGUGCAGGAAGACGGCCCUCUGGGUUGUAAACUGCUUUUAUCUGGGAAGAAAAAGGCCAUGCGUGGCAAAUUGCCGGUACCAGAUGAAUAAGCACCGGCUAACUCCGUGCCAGCAGCCGCGGUAAUACGGAGGGUGCGAGCGGUGUCCGGAUUUAUUGGGUUUAAAGGGUGCGUAGGCGGCUGAUUAAGUCAGCGGUGAAAGACUUCGGCUUAACCGGAGCAGUGCCGUUGAUACUGGUUGGCUUGAGUGUCGGAGGGGUACAUGGAAUUGAUGGUGUAGCGGUGAAAUGCAUAGAUACCAUCAGGAACACCGAUAGCGAAGGCAUUGUACUGGCCGACAACUGACGCUGAUGCACGAAAGUGUGGGGAUCGAACAGGAUUAGAUACCCCAGUAGUCC
rnacentral:rRNA from 1 species